UGCCAGCAGCCGCGGUAAUAUGGAGGGUGCAAGCGUUAUCCGGGAUUAUUGGGUUUAAAGGGUCCGCAGGCGGACGUAUAAGUCAGUGGUGAAAGCCUACAGCUCAACUGUAGAACUGCCAUUGAUACUGUACAUCUUGAAUUUGAUCGAAGUGGGCGGAAUGUGUAAUGUAGCGGUGAAAUGCUUAGAUAUUACACAGAACACCGAUAGCGAAGGCAGCUCACUAGGUUAUAAUUGACGCUCAUGGACGUAAGCGUGGGGAGCGAACGGGGUUUGAUG
rnacentral:rRNA from 1 species